CGCAUCUGUGCAUGCAGCAUAUCAAUAAGCGGAGGAAAAGAAACUAACAAGGAUUCCCCUAGUAACGGCGAGUGAAGCGGGAAGAGCUCAAAUUUGAAAUCUUAAAGGGUUUCCCUUUACGAAUUGUAGUUUAAAGAAGUGUUUUCUGUUGAGGUUUUGGUAAAAGUUCUUUGGAAUAGGACAUCAUAGAGGGUGAGAAUCCCGUAUUUGACCUUUACUUUCAACUUUGUGAUACACUUUCAAAGAGUCGGAUUGUUUGGGAAUGCAGUCCAAAAUGGGUGGUAAAUUUCAUCUAAAGCUAAAUAUUGGCGAGAGACCGAUAGCGAACAAGUACCGUGAGGGAAAGAUGAAAAGAACUUUGAAAAGAGAGUUAAACAGUACGUGAAAUUGUCAAAAGGGAAGCGUUUGACACCAGUGUUGUUUUUCUGAAAAUCAAUUAAAGAACUGUUUAUGCUAAGCUGUUUAGACUUUAUCAGCUAACUGUUUAGUUUUGAGCUUUUCUUUAAUGCACUUUUCAGUUAACAAGUCAACAUCAAUUUCUUUUGCUGUAAAAAAGCUUGAGGAAGGUGGCUUGAGAUUCGUCCUUAAGUGUUUAUAGCCUCUUGCCUAUGCAGUCGGAGAGAUUGAGGUCUGCAGCGUAGAUCCUUCGGGGCUAAAUGCAUUUGUGCUAAGUUAUAGCAUUUUAUAGACAACUUGUUGACUAUGAUUUGUCUUGUAGCUUACUCGCUUAUGUUAUUUUACCUACGCUUAGGAUGUUGAGCGCAUGUCUCUCUC
rnacentral:rRNA from 1 species